AAUAAAGGAGAGAACCAUUUACCUUCGCCAGGUAGCUCAUGCCUUCGCUAAGCAAAUCCCCGUUCGAACUGUUCCCGAAUCGAUGGUCAUCGGUUUCGCGGACGAAGGCGUCAAACAGUUGAAAAGAAAAGUUGGCAUUAAAUCAAGGCCACAUGGUUGGAGAGGCCAUAGCGUCAUGUUGAAAUUCAGAGGUUGACUGUCUUGGAGGAGAAGGCAUGGAUUGAUUGUGAAUUGGCGAGGGAUCCACAUGUAUAUUUUCCGGAGAGGGAGAUCGAACAGGAGUAGGUUCAUGGACUGGUGAGGGAGCCGAAGAUGAACCUGGAUGGCUAUCUGAUGGAUGUUUCCUUUUUUGGGAUAAGAUGGGGACAGAUCCGACCAGUUCAUCAUCAGGCACCUGAAUUUCAGUUGGGACUAUUGGGGGAAUGUCAGCCGAAGACGAUGGAACUCGGAGCUCAUCGGCAGUCAAAGGGGUAAUCUUUGUCCUUAUCUUCUUAGCACGGAG
rnacentral:lncRNA from 1 species